UAACCUGCCCUAUACACAUGGAUAACAUACUAGUAAAAGUUUACUAAUACAUGAUAAUAUAUAUUUACGGCAUCGUAGAUAUAUCAAAGUGUUAGCGGUAUAGGAUGGACCCGCGUCUGAUUAGCUAGUUGGUGAGAUAACUGCCCACCAAGGCGACGAUCAGUAGCCGACCUGAGAGGGUGAUCGGCCACAUUGGAACUGAGACACGGUCCAAACUCCUACGGGAGGCAGCAGAA
rnacentral:rRNA from 1 species